GGAGAGAUGCGAGAGUGGUUUAAUCGGCAGACCUGGAAAGUCUGUGUGUCAGAAAUGGCACCGAGGGUUCGAAUCCCUCUCUCUCCG
rnacentral:tRNA from 1 species